rnacentral:ncRNA from 1 species
AUAAAGUUUUAUUCUGGCUUGAAGAAUUCCUGUAAAGUUAUUUUACAUGUAAGGUAUCUCGUGAAUUUAGUUUUCUAAAAGAAUUAUUUGUAAUCGCAGUAUUUGAGGUUGUUGGUCAGAGUAAUUUGGAAAUAGUAAUUUUUAUAGGUCUGGUGAAAUCUGUGCCAGCUACCGCGGUUAAACGGAAGGGCUUAGGAAUUUUUAUUGGUUGAUAGUAAAUUUUUGAUUGUAGGUGACAAAUAAAAAUAAGUAGGUGAAAUUUUUAUUUUUAUAAAACUUUGGUGUGAAGCUAUAAAUAUUGGGUGUUAAACUGGGAUUAGAUACCCCACUAUACCAGAUGUAGAUUAUAGACUAGAGUAGUAUUAGGUAUAUUCUUGAAACUCAAAGAAUUUGGCGGUGUUUUAGUCUUACCAGAGGAACCUGCUUCGUAAUCGAUAGUCCACGGUGAAAUUUACUUAACUUAUUUAGCUUGUAUACCGCCGUCAGCAGGGCGUUUCUUGAGAAUACGUUCAAGGAGUUUUAUUAAAAAGUAUGUCAGGUCAAGGUGCAGCUUAUGGUUAAGGGGGUAGUGGGUUACAAUGUUUAUAGAAUAUUUAUGGAGUAAGGAGUUUAUAAUUCUUAGGAAAGUGGAUUUGGGGGUAAUGAAUUUAAGGUAGAGUUCAUGGGGUGGCGCUAAAGCAUGCACACAUCGCCCGUCGCUCUCAUUUUAAGGUGAGAUAAGUCGUAACAUAGUAGAUGUACCGGAAGGUGUAUCUAGAAAGAC